GUAUGUAUGUGUCUCUGAGUGGUUGGUGUUAGGAAGGGCAUCCAGCUGUAGAAACUCUGCCUGAUCAAGAUUAGAGCCUUGUGCCGCCAUCUGGUUUGUCAGACCCCAGUCAAAUCGUCCAACCCGUGCUAGCAUGGAAAGCGGAUGUUAAACGAUGAUGAUAUA